AAAUGAAUCAAAACUUUCAACAACGGAUCUCUUGGUUCUGGCAUCGAUGAAGAACGCAGCGAAAUGCGAUAAGUAAUGUGAAUUGCAGAAUUCAGUGAAUCAUCGAAUCUUUGAACGCACAUUGCGCCCGCCAGUAUUCUGGCGGGCAUGCCUGUCCGAGCGUCAUU
rnacentral:rRNA from 1 species